GUGGGGAAUAUUGGGCAAUGGGCGAAAGCCUGACCCAGCGACGCCGCGUGGGUGACGAAGGCCUUCGGGUCGUAAAGCUCUGUCGAGAGGGACGAACCAUUGGUGGGAACAAUACCUCACCGAUUUGACGGUACCUCCAAAGGAAGCACCGGCUAACUCCGUGCCAGCAGCCGCGGUAAUACGGAGGGUGCAAGCGUUGUUCGGAAUUACUGGGCGUAAAGGGCGUGUAGGCGGAUCGAGAAGUCGGGUGUGAAAUCCCUGGGCUCAACCCAGGAAGUGCGCCCGAAACCAUCGGUCUCGAGAUUCGGAGGGGAGCGGGGAAUUCCCAGUGUAGAGGUGAAAUUCGUAGAUAUUGGGAAGAACACCGGCGCCGAAGGGGCCGCUCUGGACGAAUACUGACGCUAAGACGCGAAAGCGUGGGGAGCAAACAGGAUUAGAAACCCCAGUAGUCC
rnacentral:rRNA from 1 species